GUGAGUCAUCGAAUCUUUGAACGCAUCUUGCGCUCCUUGGUAUUCCGAGGAGCAUGCCUGUUUGAGUGUCAGUAAAUUCUCAAACCCACUCUGGCUUUUGUGGCUGGUUUAUGUGGGAUUUGGAUGUGGAGGUCUUUGCAGGCCCUUUCGAGGUGUCGGCUCCUCUGAAAUGCAUUAGCGGAACCGUUUGCGAUCCGUCACAGGUGUGAUAAUUAUCUAUGCCAACGGGAUUGCUCUCUGCUGUUCAGCUUUGUUAAUUGUUCUAUUCGUAGGACAGCCUUUUGACAUUUUGACCUCAAAUCAGGUAGGACUACCCGCUGAACUUAAGCAUAUCAAUAAGCGGAGGA
rnacentral:misc_RNA from 1 species